GAAAGCCGGGGCGGACCGUUUGGGGUCCAACGAGCCCUGCAGCGUUGGGUGGGAUGCACCCAUCGCGUGUCCACUCCCCGGACGUCCGCCAAAUCGCACCCCAAACGGACGAAAGCGGACGUCCGGAUGGAUCUUGCGGUGGAGUUGGCCUAAGGUUUGUUUGAAGGUGCCACCAGAGUGCAUUGACUCUGUGGUUGCUUCGUAGAUCGCCGUGACAUGAAUAAAAACGUGACUAUUCCAACUCAUCAAAAGAAAACAAAAAGGUAAGCCAACUCUCAUCUCAUUGCCAAUACGGCCACACACCAUGUAGACAUGCUAUUUCCUUCCUCGUUUGUUCUCCUCGCUCUACCAAGACGGUCAAACCAUGAAACCACCCGAUGACCCAACAUCCGGCGAGCGGCAUGCGUGCACCGCACCGCACAGGAAGAGCACCAAGCAUGCACGUCGCCUCGCUUGCGUGCCGCCUGGGAACCGAACCGGAACGCAUCGUCUUUGUAUAUCCACCUCGUUGGCAGCGUUAUCCAGAUACAAUACCUCAUAUGUGUGACUGUGUGAGUGUGUCCAACGUGCAGAACGUAGGAGGGCAUGCAUGCCUUAUCCAGAUAUACUCUACUUAGGGGUAGAUAUCUGGUGAUACAAGACCUGAGGUGCUCCCGUGAUACAAGACUAGGUGGGCCGUUCGAUCUGGACUGGUGGUACAGGAUCGAGAGGGUCCCUUGGCAUUGCAAUGUAUGCAGAAAACACCUUGGGUUAUUCCCUAAUUCAGCGACGAAGUGCAUAUCCAUCUUCUCUGUUCGCUUCUUCCCUGAUACAAUUCGCACCGCCGCCGCCUAGGGCAUGUCUCCUGCCGCCGCCGCCGUCACUGCCUAGGGCAUUGCCCCCAUCCACUGUUGCUAGCACAAAUCCAGCGCAACUCGUGCGCGUGCCGAUUCCUUGGCUCAGACCCGGUCAGUUUCAUAGGAGCCGAGAUGGACCUUCCCCCGCCGUCGCUGGAGCCAAACGCGUCGUGGGAGCCGGAGACCCUCGGCAAGGACGAUCAGGACUAGAUGCCCGCGCGCUGCGGGAGUCAGUGUCGUUCGGUCGAUUCCUAUCCGAGUCACUCGAAUGGGAUACGAUGGGCCGAUGGGGCAUGUCUUGCCGGCACCGAUGGCUACCAUAUUGCAUGACCAAUCGCUGCCGGCAGCCGGGCUCAAUGAAGAUGUACAGGUCAAUUUCUCGGUGCCGACCACAACGGUCGGAGCUCACUCUGCCUCCAAUUGUAGUGAUGCAUGCAUUGGCGAUUCUGGAGCAGGCGUGAGUUGUAGUCCGUGCUUGCCUGCUGCACAUUCCUCAGCAAAUAUUGAAGGAGCUGCACUGCAUUUGGUUGUUCAUCCUCCAAUUUCAUAGUAUCGUGUAUUGCUCUCCACAAUGUAGUCCUUGAAGUCUGCUAUGAUGUUCCUAAAAUUAUGAACUGAAAGCAGCUGUUGCAACUGUAUGACAACAAACAAAAGAAGCGAAAAAGUUAUAGAAGUACAACUACAUCUAAUGUUAGUUGUGGUUAUGGAAAUUUCAUGUCUCGCCACACGCAAUACAAGCAGAUCGAUGUUUAAGUUAGUUCGGAGCAGAUAUAUGCAUCAAUAUUUUAAUCUUUGCAGAGAAUUAGAAGAAUGCGUGCUGUGUGGACAAAAGUUCUUGUUCAGUCACUCGGUUACAACAUAUUGCUAAACAUGAAAUCUAGCAGUGUUUAAAUGUUGUCUGUUUCUUCGUCUCUUAAUAUGUCUAGCUGAAUUAUACACAUAAUCUUUCUUAUAGAGUGUAAUAUAGAAUCUUUCUUACAUAUAGUAUAGUUGAAAAUCACAUGUACAGAAUAGCGCAAGUUCGGACCAAAAUGUAUUAUUAGUCGAGUAAGUGAUUAGACUAUUUCGAAGUAUUGUCUAUAGAUUGAGUGAUUCACUAAAUUCAUACCAGACGAGGCCCAAGAAUGUUUGACUAACAAAAAUCCCAGUUGAAUUCUAUAUCAGGCUGGGACAACUGAGUACUAGAAAUCUAUGCAGCUGUAAUAAACUAGCUUACUGACCAUUUAUGUUGAGCUGAGAUUUAACAAAUGUUAUGGGUAAAUACACUAUUACUCAAAGAGGAAGCAUGGUUCACACACGAUAACAAAUGUAAAAAGGAAAAAAAAGAGGUGAAUAUAACUCGAUUGCUUGUGAGCAUGUCAUGGUCUCGUAUUUCAACAAAAGGUUUUUUUACAUGGUAUUAUAGGUCAAGAAGCUUCCAAAUAGAUCAGGGGGAUAAGAAGGUGCACCAGUCUCGAAGGUUAUUUUGCAUUUCCCAUAUUUGGUGUCGUAUUGUUUUUUUGAAAGUUUUAAGGUCCUAGUUCUUGAUUUUAUCCUGUAGGUGUGCUUUUGUGCCUACCACGGGUUGGUGUAGGAAUAUGAACUCAUCAAGUGAUCUGUAGCAAUAUUGUUUCAUUCAGCUAUGUUAAUUUGUGAACUAUAUCAUCUUGUGAACUAUAUUAAGGUCAUGUUGAUUGCAAGACAAAGAUGCUAGUGGUUAAAACCGCUCAAUUUUCUUGAAGAAUGCAGGAUAAAACCAUUGCUUAUCUAGGUGACUCUUUAGGGAGGCAGAUGUUCCAAUAGAUGAUGUGCAUGCUUUCAACAUCCAAGAAACAUGGAAAACGACCAAAUGGCUGGGUCUACCGAUUCCGGAGCAGAAACAUCUUCAUCCUUUUGGUGUUCUUGCCGUGUAAUUAGGGGAAUCGUCUGUGUUAGCAGUUGACAAGAGUUGUAAUAUAUGCCUUUUAGGUUUAGGUGUAGCACCCUAUUUAGUUUAGCAAAUCUGAACUAUAACUGUUGUUACAUAUAUGUGCAAUUUCAUGGCAAGCGUUGCAUUGUGUUUUGUCAA